rfam:Sphingomonas sp. 67-36 SCNpilot_cont_300_bf_scaffold_251, whole genome shotgun sequence.
CCAGAGGGCCGGGCGGCCGCGGCCUCCGCUUUCAGCGGGGGGCGAGGAAAGUCCGGGCUCCACGGAACGACGGUGGCGGGUAACGCCCGCCGGGGGCGACCCCAGGGAAAGUGCCACAGAGAGCAGACCGCCAUCCGCCCGGCGACGGGCGCGGCAAGGGUGAAAGGGUGCGGCAAGAGCGCACCGCGCGGCUGGCAACAGCGGCGGCACGGCAAACCCCACCGGGAGCAAAACCGAAUAGGGGCGGCAAAUCGGCGUGUUCCCGCCGGUCGCCCGGGUUGGUUGCUUGAGCCCGUCGGCGACGGCGGGCCUAGAGGAAUGGUCGCCCAGUCCCGGUCCGCCGGGAUGGACAGAACCCGGCUUACAGGCCCUCUGGCGCA